UACGUAGGUGGCAAGCGUUGUCCGGAAUCAUUGGGUGUAAAGGGUGCGUAGGCGGAAGCCUAAGUCGGAGGUGAAAUCUUGCCGCUCAACGGUAAAAUUGCCUUCGAUACUGGGUUUCUUGAGUUCGGAAGAGGUUGGUGGAAUUCGUGGUGUAGCGGUGAAAUGCAUAGAGAUCACGAAGAACACCGGUGGCGAAGGCGGCCAACUGGUCCGAUACUGACGCUGAGGCACGAGAGCGUGGGGAGCGAACAGG
rnacentral:misc_RNA from 1 species